rnacentral:rRNA from 1 species
GAUGAACGCUGGCGGCGUGCCUAAUACAUGCAAGUCGAGCGAACGGACGAGAAGCUUGCUUCUCUGAUGUUAGCGGCGGACGGGUGAGUAAAACGUGGAUAACCUACCUAUAAGACUGGGAUAACUUCGGGAAACCGGAGCUAAUACCGGAUAAUAUUUUGAACCGCAUGGUUCAAAAGUGAAAGACGGUCUUGCUGUCACUUAUAGAUGGAUCCGCGCUGCAUUAGCUAGUUGGUAAGGUAACGGCUUACCAAGGCAACGAUGCAUAGCCGACCUGAGAGGGUGAUCGGCCACACUGGAACUGGGACACGGUCCAGACUCCUACGGGAGGCAGCAGUAGGGAAUCUUCCGCAAUGGGCGAAAGCCUGACGGAGCAACGCCGCGUGAGUGAUGAAGGUCUUCGGAUCGUAAAACUCUGUUAUUAGGGAAGAACAUAUGUGUAAGUAACUGUGCACAUCUUGACGGUACCUAAUCAGAAAGCCACGGCUAACUACGUG